rnacentral:rRNA from 1 species
ACGAACGCUGGCGGCGUGCUUAACACAUGCAAGUCGAACGGAAAGGCCCUGCUUGCAGGGUACUCGAGUGGCGAACGGGUGAGUAACACGUGGGUGAUCUGCCCUGCACUUCGGGAUAAGCCUGGGAAACUGGGUCUAAUACCGGAUAGGAGCCAUUUUUAGUGUGAUGGUUGGAAAGUUUUUUCGGUGUAGGAUGAGCUCGCGGCCUAUCAGCUUGUUGGUGGGGUAAUGGCCUACCAAGGCGGCGACGGGUAGCCGGCCUGAGAGGGUGGACGGCCACAUUGGGACUGAGAGACGGCCCAGACGCCUACGGGAGGCAGCAGUGGGGAAUAUUGCACAAUGGGCGCAAGCCUGAUGCAGCGACGCCGCGUGGGGGAUGACGGCCUUCGGGUUGUAAACUCCUUUCGCUAGGGACGAAGCUUUUUGUGACGGUACCUAGAUAAGAAGCACCGGCUAACUACGUG